CUGGAGGUUUCCAUUCAGACAAGUGACCAAGACUCUCUUCAGAAAUUUCUCUUGAGAAAUGCAGGUCAUCUGAGAAUCAUUCAAGCCUCCUCCUGAGGAUAUGAUAUGGAUUUUGAUUCACUUUCUGUUGGGGAGAGGGAGUUAGAAGAGUUUUCCUUCGUCUUUUCUACCAUAAUAGCUAAGAUCCAAUCUUUUUCAAUCAUGGCUCUAAUUUUCACACAAGGGACCAAGAAGAGCUGAGGAUU